rfam:Flavobacteriaceae bacterium TMED81 3966, whole genome shotgun sequence.
ACUCAACACUAAUUCAAUUAAAAGAGGUGAGUUUAAAUUGCAAAAGCAAGCCACCUUCGAGUGGAUCCUUGAACAAUUUGGCAGCCUCAAACCUGUUUAUUUCAGAGUUU